UACGGGGGGAGCAAGCGUUGUUCGGAUUUACUGGGCGUAAAGGGCGCGUAGGCGGUCGUGACAAGUCACUUGUGAAAUCUCCGGGCUUAACUCGGAACGGUCAAGUGAUACUGUCGGACUAGAGUACAGAAGGGGGCAACUGGAAUUCUCGGUGUAGCGGUGAAAUGCGUUGAUACUCAGAAGGAACGUGCCGGUGGGCGAAAGCGACGUGCUGGACCUCUUCUGACGCUGGAGGC
rnacentral:rRNA from 1 species